AACGGGACUCUUCGGAGUUUAGUGGCGGACGGGUGAGUAACGCGUGAGAAUCUGCCCUUAGGUUGGGGACAACAGUUGGAAACGACUGCUAAUACCCAAUGUGCCGAGAGGUGAAAGGUUAACUGCCUGGGGAUGAGCUCGCGUCUGAUUAGCUAGUUGGAGUGGUAACGGCACACCAAGGCGACGAUCAGUAGCUGGUCUGAGAGGAUGAUCAGCCACACUGGGACUGAGACACGGCCCAGACUCCUACGGGAGGCAGCAGUGGGGAAUUUUCCGCAAUGGGCGAAAGCCUGACGGAGCAAGACCGCGUGAGGGAGGAAGGCCUAUUGGUUGUAAACCUCUUUUGAUAGGGAAGAACACAAUGACGGUACCUAUCGAAUCAGCAUCGGCUAACUCCGUGCCAGCAGCCGCGGUAAUACGGAGGAUGCAAGCGUUAUCCGGAUUUAUUGGGCGUAAAGCGUCCGUAGGUGGCAAACCAAGUCAGUUGUUAAAGCGUAGAGCCUAACUCUAUAAGGGCAAUUGAAACUGGUUAGCUAGAGUGCGAUAGGGGCAAGGGGAAUUCCCAGUGUAGCGGUGAAAUGCGUAGAUAUUGGGAAGAACAUCGGUGGCGAAGGCGCCUUGCUGGGUCUGCACUGACACUGAGGGACGAAAGCUAGGGGAGCGAAAGGGAUUAGAUACCCCUGUAGUCCUAGCCGUAAACGAUGGAUACUAGGCGUUGUCCGUAUCGACCCGAGCCGUGCCGAAG
rnacentral:rRNA from 1 species